GUUGCUACAAAGGUGUCAAACUUAUUUUUUAGUCAGAUUAUUGUUUCCAGGCUUGUUAUAUUCUAUAUUAAAAAUCUAGGAGUACUGAAAUUCCUUGAAUAAUUUUAUGACCUUUUGCAGCAGGAUAUGCAAGAAAGGAACGUGUUUGAUCACGUCGACCGCUAUAGAUUUGCAUCUACAUGUGAAGUCCAGUUCUGGAGCACUUGAACAUGUGCUUUGGUGAUAUGCACGCUUCCUCUCAUGGUUCAAUGUAUGGAUAUUGCUUGUCCAUCUUAGUGUCAUGUGGAAGGAUGUCCAACUUAGGCGCAGUCAUGUGUAGGAUGUCCAACUUAGGGGCAGUCAUGUGGAUAAUAAACAUGCCAAUUUUCAAUCAUAUACGAAUCAAAUCCAAGCUCCAAUCAACUAUUUUAUUAGUGAUAUAUAUAUUUGCAACAAUUUAG